UACGGAGGAUGCAAGCGUUAUCCGGAAUGAUUGGGCGUAAAGCGUCCGCAGGUGGCUAUGUAAGUCUGCUGUCAAAGCGUCUGGCUCAACCAGAUAAAGGCAGUGGAAACUACAUAGCUAGAGUAAGGUAGGGGUAGAGGGAAUUCCUGGUGUAGCGGUGAAAUGCGUAGAGAUCAGGAAGAACACCGGUGGCGAAAGCGCUCUGCUGGACCUUAACUGACACUGAGGGACGAAAGCUAGGGGAGCGAAUAGG
rnacentral:rRNA from 1 species